UGGGGAAUAUUGCACAAUGGGCGCAAGCCUGAUGCAGCCAUGCCGCGUGUAUGAAGAAGGCCUUCGGGUUGUAAAGUACUUUCAGUCGGGAGGAAGGUGGUAAGGUUAAUAACCUUGGCAAUUGACGUUACCGACAGAAGAAGCACCGGCUAACUCCGUGCCAGCAGCCGCGGUAAUACGGAGGGUGCAAGCGUUAAUCGGAAUUACUGGGCGUAAAGCGCACGCAGGCGGUUGAUUGAGUCAGAUGUGAAAUCCCCGGGCUUAACCCGGGAAUUGCAUCUGAUACUGGUCAGCUAGAGUCUUGUAGAGGGGGGUAGAAUUCCAUGUGUAGCGGUGAAAUGCGUAGAGAUGUGGAGGAAUACCGGUGGCGAAGGCGGCCCCCUGGACAAAGAGUGACGCUCAGGUGCGAAAGCGUGGGGAGCAAACAGG
rnacentral:rRNA from 1 species